AUUGAACGCUGGCGGCAUGCCUUACACAUGCAAGUCGAACGGUAACGGGCCUUCGGGUGCCGACGAGUGGCGAACGGGUGAGUAAUGUAUCGGAACGUACCUUUCAGUGGGGGAUAACGUAGCGAAAGUUACGCUAAUACCGCAUAUUCUGUGAGCAGGAAAGCAGGGGAUCGCAAGACCUUGCGCUGAUUGAGCGGCCGAUAUCAGAUUAGCUAGUUGGUGAGGUAAAAGCUCACCAAGGCGACGAUCUGUAGCGGGUCUGAGAGGAUGAUCCGCCACACUGGAACUGAGACACGGUCCAGACUCCCACGGACGGCAGCAGUGGGGAAUUUUGGACAAUGGGGGCAACCCUGAUCCAGCCAUGCCGCGUGAGUGAAGAAGGCCUUCGGGUUGUAAAGCUCUUUCGGCCGGGAAGAAAUCGUAUCAGCUAAUACCUGGUGCGGAUGACGGUACCGGCAUAAGAAGCACCGGCUAACUACGUGCCAGCCGCCGCGGUAAUAC
rnacentral:rRNA from 1 species